AUCAGAGGAAAUCCAAAAGAAGAUGAGGAUGGAUGGAGAAAAGCUUGAUCAAGUGAUGAACAACAGGAAGAUAAAGACAGUAGCAUUGUUAUAAGUUUAACACCUGAAAGAAAUAAGCAGAGAGCGAGAAAGAGAAAGAGAGAAGACAGAGAAGAUUUAUGCAACUUCUUGAUCAUUUUCAAAUAAGUUUUCAUAAGAAGCUUUAAGGAAGUUUUAUCAAAACCCUAAUAUUAAGUACAUAAGAAAAUAUCACAUGAACUCAACAGUCAGAGGAAGCUGAAAUGCUGCCAAUUUCAAGUUAUAAUUAUGGGUAGACAAAACGCUAUCUGUGUGCCAUGUCUGGGCCACAGCCUGUUUUCAGACUACUAGCAAGGUAUAUUUUGCUUCAUCCUUUUCAAAUGAAUAAUUGUCCAUUAUGUGCCUGCUGUGCAAAGACUCUGUAUUAAGGUUGAGGAAUAUUCACAGGAGGACAUAUACCGUGUUCCAUGAUUCUUGGGCAUGUGUGGACCAGUGUAUUUCAAACUCCAAGAAAAUGCAUCACUUUGAAGAGAAAUGUAAGAAGCUAGUGGAUUCUUCAAGCCACCUGAUAUGUUUAUAAACAAACCAGCAAGUGGAUUGGGGCAAGCAGCAAGACUCUCCUCUCUUUU
rnacentral:lncRNA from 10 species